GGUGGGGGGGUCACUACAAAUGACAAAAAGAGCCAUGCAGCCGAGUAUAAUAAUAACAACCAUUCCCUCCACUACAGUUACACUUCAAAGCAAACCGAAUAUUGACCAGGAAAGAAAAUCAAGUGGAAUUCAAGCCACGCUAACUGCUCCCUCCCACUCACAGUCUUUGUGCUAAGCUACGCUAACAGCAGCGUCACAUGUUCACAGUACAGAUGAUUAGUAGCGUGUUUGCACUGGAUGGUAAAUGAUUAUUAAUUGAAACUACAUCUCAUAAUUUACAGCAUUUAUCGGAAUAAACAGUUGGCAACUCUUUAUUUUAGGGGUCUCUUCAUUUCACAUAGUUUUGUAAAAGCGAUUAUCAGUAAACAUUUUGUAGGUAAAAUCCUGGAAAAUAAUAUAUAUAUUCUCUUUAUGAAUGUAAGGAAAAUGUUUUGUUUUUUUAUUAUUAUUAUUGAUUAUUUUCUCAUUUAAUAUUUUUCAAUUUAUAAACUGUAAAAAAGAAAAAACAAUUCACGGCCCAAAAACACCAAAUAUUUUGGACUGAUGACAAUAUAAAAUAGAAGCUACAGAAGUCCGGAAUGUUUCUUUAACAAAAAAUGAUUUAAAGGAACAGUCAAUCCCAAAAAUAAAUCUGCUUUUCUUUUCAGAAAUCAUGUUUUUUCAUCAACUAUUUUAUUUCUAGGGAACUGCGCUGGGCGACCUGGACACGAGCUUCCUCCUGCGCGGAGCUAAUCAAUGCAGUUCCGAAGAAAGAAAACCGGUGGCUGUGGUUUUUAUUUGGGGGUGUACUGUCCCUUUAACUGUUAUGAACCAAUCAUACGGCCUCAGAUCAUCGUCUAUUUUCGUCAUCAAUUACUUUUUUCUUUAGAGAAACUAAAACAAAGUGUUACAGAAUUAUAACGACCCAAAAUAACGAUUAAUAUCCUCUAUGUAACCAGACAACCACUCCGGAUCAACGUCUCGCACCAGCGGCCCACGUUUCAAAACACACCUGUGUUGAAGCCCCGCCCCCUCUGUGUUGCCUUGACGACCGUGUGCAGGUGUUUCCUUCAAAAGUUGCAAAACGGCAACCAACCUCCCCCACUCGCUGUUUUACUCUUCUUGUUCCUGCAGCGCGGGGAGGGGUCGGCAACUCCGUCUUCCUGACUUCCUGUCCCUCCAUCGCCGCUUCCCGUCGUCACGCCGCUGAUACGGCUUUUGUAGUUCCGAUCCAGACAGAUUUUUUUUUCAUUUUACAUCUCAGCCAAACAGAAAAAAAAGGGAGGCCCCUCCCCCCCCCCCCCCCCC
ensembl:lncRNA